GUGAAUACGUUCCCGGGUCUUGUACACACCGCCCGUCACACCACGAGAGUUUGUAACACCCGAAGCCGGUGGAGUAACCUUUUAGGAGCUAGCCGUCGAAGGUGGGACAAAUGAUUGGGGUGAAGUCGUAACAAGGUAGCCGUAUCGGAAGGUGCGGCUGGAUCACCUCCUUU
rnacentral:rRNA from 1 species